rnacentral:misc_RNA from 1 species
AAGAGUUGCAAGACUCCACAAACCAUCGCUGAACGUUACCUCACCGUUGCUUCGGCGGGGCCAGCGCCCCCGGCCCCCGGGGGGGACGGCUACCAGAACUCUUGCAGUUAGUUGGCCUCUCUGAGUAUUAUUUAUGAAUACAGUCA